rnacentral:rRNA from 1 species
UACAGACGGUCCAAACGUUAUUCGGAAUCACUGGGCUUAAAGAGUUCGUAGGCGGUCAGGAAAGUGGGGUGUGAAAGCCCUCGGCUUAACCGAGGAAUUGCGCUCCAAACUCCCUGACUUGAGGAGGCUAGAGGUAAGCGGAACUGAUGGUGGAGCGGUGAAAUGCGUUGAUAUCAUUUGGAACGCCAAUGGUGAAAACAGGUAGCUGGGAGUGUGCUGACGCUGAGACACGAAAGCCAGGGGAGCAAACGGG